CAUUAUGUUACCCCCCAGCCCCCCAACCCACCUUGGCUCUUCCUAUUUCCCAGCUGCCAUAAGGUGAACAGCUUUUCUCUCAUGCCUUUCUGCUGUGAUGUUUCUUUCUUGGAGCCAGCUGACCAUGAACUGAAACCUCUAAAACCAUGAGUCAAGAUAAACUUUUAAAUUAUGAUGAAAGUAUGGAAGGAAGGAAGGUUUGGUUUUACAAUGUAUAUGUUCUUCUCUGCCCAGAUUCUGAUAUGAAUCAUUUUUUACAUUAGACCAUUUCAGUAAGAAUACCAGUGAUUGUUCUCUAGAAGAAAAGAAUCUAUAGAAAAUAUAUGCAUAAUUAUACAAAGGGAUAAAAUAGAUGGGCUACAAGAUCAGAGGAAGAAGAGUCCACAAUGGCUGCAUACCGAAGACCCUCAGGAUCCAGUAGGUGUUCAACACAGGAACAUGGAAACCUCAUAACAAGAGAAAUCAAGGAUAUAGCACCAGUCCAAGGUCAAAGGGCUGAAAGCUCACUCGAGGGGCUUCAAUGUGAGUCUGCGUUGGAAGACUGAAGAAAUCGGAGACAGAUGUCCAAAGGAGGAAAAAACAAAAAAAUUCAAACCAGAAUGAGGAAGGCAGCCCUAAUGAGCACUCUACUAGCUACAGUGUUCCUCAGCUGCAAUCACGUAGGACUCAACAGUGAGAAGUUCUUCUAUUUCGAAAAUAAAG
rnacentral:lncRNA from 1 species